rnacentral:lncRNA from 1 species
GCUAAGUAUAAGCAUGAGCCAAUGCAUUGCUGUCUUUCUUGAAGCAAAAUUUGUUUUUGUUACAGAAUGAAGGCAAUAUGGCUAAAUAUUCUUACUCUUGCACAGACUAUUCACCAGAUAUACAGAGGAAGACAGAUUUAUGAUAACAAGAUAGCAAAGAUAAAGUGUGAAGAAAAUUCUGCCUAUAAAAUAGAGAGAAUUCACAGAGGUGCAGUUGUGCAAAGGUGGUGAGACUGUUGGGAAAGUUACAAUGUCCAGG